AGACGGGGGGUGCUAGCGUUGUUCGGAAUUACUGGGCGUAAAGGGCGCGUAGGCGGCUCUGCGAGUCGGGCGUGAAAUCCCGGGGCUCAACCCCGGAACGUCGCUCGAUACUGCGGGGCUGGAGACCGGAAGAGGAGGGUGGAAUUCCCAGUGUAGAGGUGAAAUUCGUAGAUAUUGGGAGGAACACCGGUGGCGAAAGCGGCUCUCUGGUCCGGUUCUGACGCUGAGGCGCGAAAGCGUGGGGAGCAAACAGGAGUAGAAACCCUAGUAGUCC
rnacentral:rRNA from 1 species